AUUUUCCUCACAGGAAGUACUUCCUUUUGUGCUCUGUUUACAUCCAGGUUAGUCUGUACGGGUCCAUGCUAGAUAUCAUAAUAUCAAAUAUUAAACGUAUAUACUCGUAAUUCACAAUUUGACUUUAAGUCAAAACAGCAUAAAGUGAGCAAGCUACAUUAAAUUACAUUAUUUUUUACAAUUAAUUUUUUGGGAUCUUACUUUAAUUAUAUAAAUCUGAAGAAAUUUUAUGUGGAAAUCUCGGACUUUCUGUAGUAUCAAUUCAAGCUUUUCAGCUGGUAGCCAUAUCAUUAUUCGGAAAUGAAAUACAGAAAAAAGGAGACAGAAGAAUGAAGUAGAUACAGAAAUAGACACUUCACAGCCAGAGGAAUUCACAAUUUUACAGCAAUAUUGCUCCUCGUCCGCAACGUCAUCUGCGCAGCAGCUCCAAGCGCACGUGCCCCACCACGCGGCGAGCCUGGUCAGGCGUGUGCCCCGCGCGAGAUGCAGCCCGGUGUGACGUCACUGCUGCAGCGACUUCUGCCUGGAAACUGCGAGCUCACCAGCCGGGCAGGGUCGCCGAAUGGCCGCAAAGGACGUAGACAGACUUGUCAUUAAGCACAAUCUGGCUUCUUGUUAAUUACGUGAUCUCCUGCAUAUCUGCUGCUUUAUAAAAUGGGAGAAGGGCAGAGCAGAGAGAAGAUUUCUGUCUCAGAGGAUGCCUGUUCAUCACUCCAGGAUUCAAAAGUAUUCACAGGACCACCUUCAAGCCCAACACCAUCAGAGACCACCCAGAGACCAGAAGCAGACCUACCACAGUGUCAAAUAGGGAAUAAGAAAGUAGAUGACAUGUGUUUUAUGAUCACAUGCACCAACUGGUAUUAGACACUACACCACAGACUGAAGUCCUUGACGUUAUGAAGUUGAAUUUUGAGGAAUAUGUUUUUAUGAUGAGUUGAUCCGUUCUGACAUAUCUUUGUAAAAUUAUUAAAUAUGCAGUUUUCGAAAGUAAAACUAUUUAACUUUUUGUUUGUCUGUAGGUUAGAAUGUCACACGUGCACCGUUCACCAUAAAAGAGCAAAUUGUUGCAGAAAAAUAUCUUUUCCACAGUAGAAAGCCAUUGAUUAUCUUAAAUGUGUGUUCUGAGUGUCUAUGUGUAUUUGUGACUGCAAAUUGAAAAAAGUAUUGAAAAUUCAAGUCACUGUGACAAACUUUAA